rnacentral:lncRNA from 1 species
UUUACUAACGGAUUCUGUAAUUAGUUUUUUUAUUAAUACCCGAACACCCUAUACGAUAGUAUAUAUAAUACCCGAUGUGGCACGCCAAAACUUUACACCCCUGGAUCUAAACACCACCUUCAUAUGUGAGCCCUUGAACUUUUUCCUUCAAGCCGAACACUCCCUUUACAAAAUCUUCCAGCCUUUCACUGUUUCACACUCAUCUUCGGAACUUCGGCUUCACUCUGUGACAAUGGAUCAUGUUCUGAAUAGAACCUGCCUGAUAAUCGUCAAUAAUCACAGGGUAUUCGGAUGAAAUUUUGUGUAGGCUCGUGACAUGUUGGAGAUUCAGCCGCCUGCCAAAUAAGGAUCGUCAAAAUGUAGUUUAAUUAAGAGCAAAUUGGAAAUAUGAAUUUACUGUUUCAGCCUAUCCUGGUUUGGUCCAUCAGCUACACAACUAGAUGGCCACAAGUUUCCGCUCACCUGCUGCCAACUGCGACCAGCUGACGCAACAAAUUUCUAAUUGGCGAUCUUAUCAAUAAGCCAAAGCAGAUACAUCCCGGUACAUGGUGCCAAUAAUAAUAUCUCAUUUUUCAUUGAAGUCCUAUGUUUUGAUUGAACAAGAAUUAUUAAAGGUGACCAAAUUCAUUUUCUCAAGUUAAUAUUAAUUUAGAAAAGAAUGUGUUACUACCUAAUAAAAAUACGUGUUUUUAUGUUAGCAGGGUAAAAAGCGACUAAAUUAGAUGUCACUGUAGCCUAGAGGAGCCGGCAUCCGGCAUGUCAUUGUUUUUGAAGGAGUUGCUGAUACAAGCCAAAGCAAGCGUUGUUCAUGUGCUCAGGCAGCCAAAGCAGCGCCAGCCACAGAAUCGGCGUGUUUGGUUCAAGGAAAAAUCUGUAGUGAGUUAAAACCGAGAUGCAGUAAAUGUCCAGCUCGUUUGGUCUAGUCAACACACAGCUGGAGUUUUUCAUGUACAUGCACGCUAAUAAACUACUCCCUCCAUCUAUUUUUAUUUUUGAUAGUCAUAUUUUCAAAUCUAAAAAAAUUAUUUUUGAUAGACAUAUUUCAAUCCAACAACCUAUCAUCUUAAUGACUUUCUCAGAUUUAAUGCGUGGCUCUCCAUUCUUCCACACAAGAUUGGCUAAAUGGGUAUCGAGAAAUAUAAAUAUUAAUGAAUCACUUGUUUACGAGGAAUGACUAGUAGCAUGUUUAAAUAGAUGAUAAGUAGAAUUACGUAUCCUUGGCCUGUGUGUCAAGAUGAAAUAUGACUAUCAAAAGUAGAUGGAGGAGUAGGACAUUAUUUAUUUUGAAAUUUUAAUCACUCAUCUUUUUUCUAAAAAAAUAUAAUUACUAAAAAAAUGAGCGAGUCAUGUCCAUGUUUUAGGAUAGUUAAAUUAAUAUAUUAUACCCACCUCCAGGCCAGGCUUAAUUUGCGUUUCAAGUUCCCGUGAAUGAAAAGAGAAGAGAGUGAAGCAUCAGCAUUCCGGCUUACCCAAUAUCCGUGUGCAUUGCUAGGGUGGCCAUCACCAUCGUGCGGCAGCCACCACCACCACACACUCAUUGUCGUCUCCGCCAUGUGCCUCCCUCUCUAUGUCCACAACCCCUGAUGCAUCGACAUCGUUCCUCAGCCGUGUGCUUCGGGUUAGUGGAUGCAUGCGGCAGCCACUUCUCUGCCCAUCACCGAUGAGGCACGAGAACUAUUGCUGGAUACCUAUGCACCAGACCUAGUACUAGGGUGGAUCUGAUGCCCACAAGCACCAUACCACCCAUAGAUACUAGACCUGAUAUCUGUAACUGAUAGAUAUAGUUAGUAGAAUGAUAUAUGUGGGUAUCAAUUUUGAUGCCCAAUAUUAGGUAUGCUACCUUGUACUAGCCACACGGCUUAGCUGCUCCACCUCACCAUCGACCUCGCCGCCUCACCGGAGCCUUACUUUGUUGACCGAUCAGGGACACGUUGCCAUGCCUAAGCUGCCCAGCCAUGCUUGAGCUUCAUAGCACUGGCGGCGUCGUAUAGAAGAAGGGAACGAGAAUGAGAGAAGAGAGAGAGAGAAGGUCAUAUGUGUGGUAUAGAU